UAGGAUUCCAUUAGUAUUAAUAUUGCUUUCAAUUCCAAAAAGGUUAAUUUCCACUUCUUUGCAGAUAUUUCAAAGUACAAUAUUAACUUCAUACAAAAUGAGCAAUUAAGCAAACACCAUUAUUUCACAUUCUUCAAAAAAUACAAAUUCAUAUUUACUCUUUUGGGUUUUGGAGAUGCUCUUCCUUUGGAAGUACUGUACCUGUAACUAACAUCUUCACAUUGCUCAAUGUAAGCACAUUUGUUGCCAUGUUUCAGAGUUAAAUAAAUUCCUUUAUUACCAUACACACAUUCUUGAGAAACUGGGAUUUAGUUCAGCUGUCUCCAAAGUCCCAGGCAGUGCAGCCCCCCAGCCCCGACAGCUCAGCUGGAGCUGGAGCUGCCCCCGGUGUGGAGCCAGGCUGGGGUUUGGGCUGGGUGAGGCAAAACAGAGCAGGGUCAGCCCGAGCAGCGGGAGGACACGAGAGUCACAAACCAGCAACACCAGCAACUGCAACUACAGCACUGCAAACACACCCUCAAGUCUGCCGGAAAAGGUCACGUGAAAAAAAAUAUUUUUUUAAGAAAAAGUAGAAACUGCAUUUGAGAAAGUGUACGCUGCAUAAUGAACCAAAUUUUGGCCAGCUUGCACACCACUGCAGCAUGGUGUGGGGUUUCACCUAGUUCCAAAAACACACACUCAGACUAUGUACACUACUACAUAAAUAUCCAGUUUAAUUUGCAUUUCUCAGUGCAGACACAGAAUCCAACUUCUAGAACAUGUGAUAAGAUAUCAAGACAAGACACAAAAAAGUUAAAAGUUCAGCCCUGUCCAUGAGAAUUGACUACAGGUAACAUUUAUAAAAACUCGACAUUGCUUCCAAAAUAUGUUACGGAAAAAAUAGUAUACAAUUAAAAACUCUGCAGUCAGAAAUUCAUAGGGUUUAUUAAAGACAUGCUCUUCAUUUUGCCUUACAGUCCAAACUGACUCCAGCUAGCUCAGGUAACUCCUGCCAAGAACUUUUCACCCACAGAUCUCCAAUCAUUUCGUGGAGACAGCAGCCUGGCCUGGCUCCGUGGGGAGGAUCCGAGGCAGCGCGAGGCUCUGAGCCCCGGCCAGCGGUGGAAGCCACAGCAGAGCUGCUCUGCCCUGCCCCACUGACCCGGCUGCCUCAGCUCACAACACCCCAGCCACAGCAUCUCCAGCCACCCCAGGACAGCCCCUGGGCUCUGUUCCCCGCAGCUCCACGCCAAGGGGCCCUGGCUCCAGCCCUGCCCCUGGUUUGUCUCGGAGCAGGAGUGCUGUGAACAGUUCACAGCCUUGCUGCACAUCAAGGACAACGUCGUGGAUGGCUACAGCCAUGCCACCCCCAAGAAAUAAGGCAGUAACAGGACAUCAGAAACCAUCUUGAAGACAAAUUUCAAAGGUGCAACAUGCCUGUUUGAAAGCAGCUCGUCACUUGUGUUCCCACGUGGGCACAGAAUGAGGGCAGGGGAAGAAGGACACAUAUCAAGGGACACGGCAUGUCCAACAGGAGUGACAAGCAGCCCCCAGAAAGCGUGAGAGAAAAGGCUGCUGAAGCACAGUGCUCUCAGAGGGUUAUUUGCAUAGAUUGGACGUUUGCUAACGAUGCAUAAUUUGUCUGGGGCACGGGGAAGGGCAGCACAGCACCCACCACGCCUGUUCUGUCAGACAGACACACACGGACCACGCGGGACAAGGAUCUUUAGCUACAGGUAUUGCACCAAGUUAAGUGCUCAUCUUUGCACACCCCUGUUAACUUUUACUCAGAGCAAAAAUAAACUUUGUGAAAGUAUAUACAAAAGAAAUUGCAGCAAUUGGGUUAAAGAUAAAAUAACCUAAAGUGCAUUUUAGAUACCAGUAUGAGGUUCUGCGAACUUGUUUUCCUGGGGACACUCAGCAUUACACAAGUGUCCAACUCGUACUUUGUUCCAUGUAAUUCAGUACCAGCAUUCAAUCAGUGCUGAUUUUCCACCCCACCCCCCCACCCCCCACCUACAAGCACAAAAAGCAAUUUCUCCAACCUUCAGCUGCAUGCCAAGUCUGCUCGCUUGGGUCCUUGCUUGGUGACCAAAGCUACCAAAGUCAGUAACUUGACCCCCUCUACAUAUUUGAGCUUCUACACCCAUCUAGAAACUAUGAGUGACCAAGUAAACCCCCACUAGCACAAAACAGGUGACCUAGAGCAGUGCACUUCUGCUCUCUGACUGAUAAUUAAAGGGGUUCAUGCAGACUUUGUAGAGGCAGGCACGCUGUUCCCAGAGACUCCAACACAUUUACCCUUUUCUGGGAAUCCAGGGCAGAAACUCUCCCUUUCAUUAAUAAUGUAAUAGUGAAUAUACUAAAUGCUGGAGCAGCAAGGAGAGGACAGGAAAAUCUCUGGCCUUGCAGAAUCUCAGGGCUUUGCUGCCCUUGGAUCUCCUCCCAUCCCAGCAUGGCACAGACUGCCCUGGAGCACAGUCUGAUCACACAGUACUGGGGAUGAUACAAAUGUGAAAACAUCUCAGACACACGCAGCAAAAACACUCUGGAAAGCAGAUGGGACGAUAAACAACAACAGCACACACCUGGAAAACACAGUGGAUGCACAGCCCGUGUGCUCACAGAAUCACAUGCUCCUGCCUCAGCACAAGCUUUAACCAGUUCCACCUGAAUUGCAGCCUGCCUGAUGCAUGUAUAAGAGAGAAAUGGCAAAGCCAAUGCACCAAAGAAUCAGCAGGACAUAGUGCUUUUCCUGGAACACAACAAAAAACCCAGCAGCUGUGAAGAGAAACAGCAGAGAUUGACCCUGGGCACUGCUGCCCAUCACUGCAGCUUCACAUUGAGCUUCCCAGUUCAGAGACUUUGGUAGUUUCUUCUACUCAUUUCAGUGACAAGAGAGUUUCUGAAGAUGCUCUCUGGCCCAACCAGGAGCGUGUUUUAGGUUGACUAAGUCAUAAGUAGCAAAAGUAAAAAAGCCUCCCUGAAGGCUGCGAAGGCUCAGAAGCGUUGCUGAAUUGCCCAGCUGUCACAGUGCAGGCCACAUCUGGGACCCUUGUCCCCAUCAGAGGCAACCCCCACAACUCCUGGGGAAUCGUCACACUCCUGCAUCACAUCCCAACCAUGCAGGCUUGGGACUAUGUUUUUUGUGUUCAAAGCAGUUCUUGCUGCCAUGCAAUUCAACUGCAGCACAACAUGAAGCUGUAGGAGAAAAACAAAGGAGCCACCACCUCGCUGCCCUCCAAGGAUUGCCAUGACAGGAACAAAACAAGAAAUGCUUUGUUAACCUGUUUUGUGGAUACCAAACCUUGUAGCUGCAGGACUCUACAACAGCCCUGUCACACACCCAGAGGAAACACCAGCAGUACGUGGGAUGCCCUCGAGUUCAUCCCUGCAGCUGCCAACACCGAGCUCUCUGCCCUGGCACAGACACACGGCGUGGCCCAGGCACGGAGUGCUCCUGGCACACCCGUCUGCCCUCACAGGACGUGGUUCUUUCCCCUCUGCACCUCUCAGAAGCUGUGCAGGAGGGAAGGCCAGCUCCCUUCAGUCCCUUUCCACCCGUGCCUGGGCACUGCAUUCUCAGGGGAACAGCACAAGAGGUGGCUGAAGCCAGGCUCAGUGGUGGUCACCUACACUGAGCAUAUCACAGGAGGAUUUAACACCCGCUGAUCACCAGGCAGCACUCACAGGGGUCUCCUUCCCCAGAGGUACAGAGAGCAGCUCUGAUCAAACACAAAGAGUGAAAGACCUCUAUCCACUACAGUUUGUACUCCUAAAUUGAGUGCAGGACACUCCCCACUAAUUGGCUUACAGUCAUUAUCUUUGUAUCUCACUAAUGACAACACUGUAAACUGAAUAAAGACUAUUUAAUAUUCUUUCCUUUAACACAGAAAACUGACAGCCAAAGCCAGAAAGAUGGAUAAAAACUAUAAAAUUACAUAUUUUAAAAUAAUGCAGCAUAAAUAAACCAUUUAGAAUGAGACUGCAUUUAUUGCAACAUUACAGGCUUUUUGGUGGAAGGGGGGGGUUUGGAUUUGAUUUACCCUGAGUAGAUUAGAAUAUAGACUCUCAGUUUGAUAUCAAAAACUAUUCUGUUGUGUAACAUCUUUUAGUCAAGAAAUAGCCCCGUGCACAAAAAGCUGGCAUUGCAGUAGGCUGGAGGCAGAGUCAGGCAGAAAUUAUAUAGCUCAUUGGAAAAAAAAAAAAAAAAAAAAA
rnacentral:lncRNA from 1 species